rnacentral:rRNA from 1 species
UACGGAAGGCAGCAGGGGGAAUAUUGCACAAUGGGCGCAAGCCUGAUGCAGCCAUGCCGCGUGUAUGAAAAAGGCCUUCGGGUUUGUAAAGUACUUUCAGUCGUGAGGAAGGUGUUAAGGUUAAUAACCUUAGCAAUUGACGUUAGCGACAGAAGAAGCACCGGCUAACUCCGUGCCAGCAGCCGCGGUAAUACGGAGGGUGCGAGCGUUAAUCGGAAUUACUGGGCGUAAAGGGCACGCAGGCGGUUAAUUAAGUUGGAUGUGAAAUCCCCGGGCUUAACCUGGGAAUGGCAUUCAAGACUGGUUAGCUAGAGUCUUGUAGAGGGGGUAGAAUUCCAUGUGUAGCGGUGAAAUGCGUAGAGAUGUGGAGGAAUACCGGUGGCGAAGGCGGCCCCUGGACAAAGACUGACGCUCAUGUGCGAAAGCGUGGGGAGCAAACGAGGGAUUAGAUA